rnacentral:rRNA from 1 species
UACAGAGGUGGCAAGCGUUUGUUCGGAAUUACUGGGCGUAAAGGGCGCGUAGGCGGCCUACUAAGUCAGACGUGAAAUCCCCCGGCUUAACCUGGGAACUGCGUCUGAUACUGGAAGGCUUGAGGAUGGGAGAGGGAUGUAGAAUUCCAGGUGUAGCGGUGAAAUGCGUAGAUAUCUGGAGGAAUACCGGUGGCGAAGGCGGCAUCCUGGACCAUUACUGACGCUGAGGCGCGAAAGCUAGGGGAGCAAACGGGAUUAAGAA